rnacentral:misc_RNA from 1 species
UUUCCGUAGGUGAACCUGCGGAAGGAUCAUUACAUUCAGUAGCCUAGCUACUUGUUUACACCCUUGUUUUUUUGCGCACUUCACUGUAUCCCUCGGCGGGCUUGCCUGCCGGUUGGACAACUUUAUAACCUUUUUAAAUCUUCAAUCAGCGUCUGAACAAUAUACAAUAAUUACAACUUUCAACAACGGAUCUCUUGGUUCUGGCAUCGAUGAAGAACGCAGC